rnacentral:rRNA from 1 species
UACGAAGGGGGCUAGCGUUGCUCGGAAUCACUGGGCGUAAAGCGCACGUAGGCGGCUUUUUAAGUCAGGGGUGAAAUCCUGGAGCUCAACUCCAGAACUGCCUUUGAUACUGGGAAGCUUGAGUCCGGAAGAGGUGAGUGGAACUGCGAGUGUAGAGGUGAAAUUCGUAGAUAUUCGCAAGAACACCAGUGGCGAAGGCGGCAUCCUGGACCGACACUGACGCUGAGGAGCGAAAGCCAGGGGAGCAAACGGG